UGGCUACUACAUUGAAACUUGUAAAUAUACAAAGAGCCUUUGUUGCUAAGACCCAUUAAGUGCUCGCAACAGUUUGCAAGUUUCUUUAAGUGAGGUGUAAAUCAAGCCCUGUAUUAAAAUAGGCGUGGGCAGAACUGCAGUGUUCUAUGCAUUAAUCUCUUUUGUUUUUUCCAUAGCUAAGAAGUACAGUGCCUUUCUGGUUUCAGAGUCCCUCCCUUCAGAGUCCUGAUCAGAUCCUCUCACCUUGGGUCAGGGUCUGAACAAAGCUGCGAAGUUCCCCUCCCUCUUCGCUCACAAUGAAAACAUGGUGGCCAAGGUCAAUUAAAUCCAGUCUAUCAUCAAAUUUCAAAUGAAAAAGGUGCUUUGUCUGGCGGUGGCCGUUGGCCAUGUAAAAAUGACUGAAGAUGAGCUAGUCUACAACUUUCACCUGGCCAUCGACUUCCUGGUGUUCUUGCUGAACUGUCAGAAUGUGCAUGUUGUACAUCAAGAGCACCAUGGGGAAACCACAGCACCUCUACUAAACUGGCAGUAAUAAAUGUUUCAGAGCA